rnacentral:rRNA from 1 species
AACGAACGCUGGCGGCGCGCCUAAUACAUGCAAGUCGAGCGAGAAGACGUAGCAAUACGUUUGUAAAGCGGCGAACGGGUGAGGAAUACAUGGGUAACCUACCCUCGAGUGGGGGAAUAACUAGCCGAAAGGUUAGCUAAUACCGCGUACGCUCCUCGGACUUCGGUUCAGGGAGGAAAGCGAUACCGUGGGUAUCGCGCUCUUGGAUGGGCUCAUGUCCUAUCAGCUUGUUGGGAGGUAACGGCUCACCAAGGCUUCGACGGGUAGCUGGUCUGAGAGGACGAUCAGCCACACUGGGCACUGCGACACGGGCCAGGACUCCUACGGGAGGCAGCAGUAAGGAAUAUUGCGCAAUGGGCGAAAGCCUGACGCAGCGACGCCGCGUGGGGGA